rnacentral:rRNA from 1 species
AUUGAACGCUGGCGGCAGGCCUAACACAUGCAAGUCGAACGAGUGGCGGACGGGUGAGUAAUGUCUGGGAAACUGCCCGAUGGAGGGGGAUAACUACUGGAAACGGUAGCUAAUACCGCAUACCAUCGGCUGUUCCCAGAUGUGCUUAGCUUGUAGGUGAGGUAACGGCUCACCUAGGCGACGAUCCCUAGCUGGUCUGAGAGGAUGACCAGCCACACGGGAACUGAGACACGUGCCAGAAGCCGACGUGAGGCAUAAGUGGGGAAUAUGGGUCAAUGGGCGCAAGGCUGAUGUAGACAGGCCGGGGGUAUGAAGAAGGACUUAGAGUUGUAAAGUACGUUCAGCGGGGAGGCGUUACACGCAGAAGAAGCAAAGGCUAACUCCUGGCCAGAAGCCGCGGUAAUAC